rnacentral:rRNA from 1 species
GACGAACGCUGGCGGCGCGCUUCAUACAUGCAAGUCGAGCGAUCGACUCCGGGCCUUCGGGCCUGGAGCACGGAGCGGCGAACGGGUGAGUAACACGUGGGUAAUCAACCCUCGGUACUGGGAUAGCCCGGGGAAACCCGGAUUAAUACCGGAUAGCCUCCAGAGCCUUCGGGCACCGGAGAAAAGGUAGCUUCGGCCUCCGACCGAGGACGAGCCCGCGGCCGAUUAGCUUGUUGGUGGGGUAACGGCUCACCAAGGCGACGAUCGGUAGCUGGUGUGAGAGCAUGACCAGCCACACUGGGACUGAGACACGGCACAGACUCCUACGGGAGGCAGCAGUAGGGAAUCUUGCGCUAAUGCGGGCAACCGUGACGCAGCGACGCCGCGUGCGGGAAGAAGGCCUUCGGGUUGUAAACCGCUUUCAGGAGGGACGAAGCUACUCGGGUUAAUAGCCCAGAGGGUGACGGUACCUCCAGAAGAAGCCCCGGCUAACUACGUGCCAGCCGCCGCGGUAA